GCGCCCGUAGCUCAGCUGGAUAGAGCAACGGCCUUCUAAGCCGUGGGUCAGGGGUUCGAAUCCUCUCGGGCGCACCA
rnacentral:tRNA from 1 species